UGUGUGUCGUAGUUAACGCGUUAAACAGGGCGCCUGGGAAGUACGGCCGCAAGGCUAAAACCCAAAGGAAUUGACGGGGACCCGCACAAGCAGUGGAGCGCCUGGUUUAAUUCGAUGGUCAGCGAAGAACCUCACCUAGGCUUGAACUGUAGCUGCACACUCCCAGAAACGGGAGAAUCCUUCGAGGGUGCUACAGAGGUGCUGCAUGGCUGUCGUCAGCUCGUGUCGUGAGAUGUAGGGUUAAGUCCCACAACGAGCGCAACCCCUAUUCAGUGUUAUAAUUACUCUGAAGACUGCCCUGUCCAAACGGGGAGGAAGGAGGGGACGACGUCCAGUCAUCAUGUCCCUUAUGUCUAGGGCUACACAGACGUUACAAUGGCCGGUACAAUGGGUUGCCAAACCGCGAGGUGGAGCCAAUCCCAUCAAAGCCGGUCCCAGUUCGGAUUGCAGUCUGCAACUCGACUGCAUGAAGUUAGAAUUGCUAGUAAUCGCGAAUCAGCACGUCGCGGUGAUACGUUCUCGGGUCUGUACACACCGCCCGUCAGGGCACGGGAGUCGCUCUUGCUCGAAGU
rnacentral:rRNA from 1 species